AACGAACGCUGGCGGCAGGCUUAACACAUGCAAGUCGAGCGCCCCGCAAGGGGAGCGGCAGACGGGUGAGUAACGCGUGGGGAUCUACCCAUCUCUACGGAAUAACGCAUGGAAACGUGUGCUAAUACCGUAUACGUCCUUCGGGCGAAAGAUUUAUCGGAGAUGGAUGAGCCCGCGUUGGAUUAGCUAGUUGGUGGGGUAAAGGCCUACCAAGGCGACGAUCCAUAGCUGGUCUGAGAGGAUGAUCAGCCACACUGGGACUGAGACACGGCCCAGACUCCUACGGGAGGCAGCAGUGGGGAAUAUUGGACAAUGGGCGCAAGCCUGAUCCAGCCAUGCCGCGUGAGUGAUGAAGGCCCUAGGGUUGUAAAGCUCUUUCACCGGUGAAGAUAAUGACGGUAACCGGAGAAGAAGCCCCGGCUAACUUCGUGCCAGCCGCCGCCGUAA
rnacentral:rRNA from 1 species